CCAGACUCCUACGGGAGGCAGCAGUGGGGGAUAUUGCACAAUGGAGGAAACUCUGAUGCAGCGACGCCGCGUGAGGGAAGACGGUCUUCGGAUUGUAAACCUCUGUCUUUGGGGAAGAAAAUGACGGUACCCAAAGAGGAAGCUCCGGCUAACUACGUGCCAGCAGCCGCGGUAAUACGUAGGAGGCAAGCGUUAUCCGGAAUGACUGGGCGUAAAGGGUGCGUAGGUGGUUUGACAAGUUAGUAGCGAAACUCCGGAGCUUAACUUCGGAACUACUACUAAAACUGUUGGACUUGAGUGCAGGAGGGGCAAUCGGAAUUCCUAGUGUAGCGGUGGAAUGCGUAGAUAUUAGGAGGAACACCAGUGGCGAAGGCGGAUUGCUAGACUGUAACUGACACUGAGGCACGAAAGCGUGGGGAGCAAACAGGAUUAGAUACCCCCGUAAC
rnacentral:rRNA from 1 species